rnacentral:misc_RNA from 1 species
GUUACAUGUCACAGCUUUAACCAAUCUCUCUUCUGUCUCAUUGAAGUGCACGCUGCGUGUACGCGACUCACAGUUGACGAAGGACCUGCGGUUGCUCUCUGCCUUUUACUCGCCGGAGCAGCUCACUCCGGCGAUUCUCGGACGUUAGCCAGAGCCAUCAAUUCACUCCCCUCCGAUUUACUUUUCGGAUAAGAAAGAAACAGCCCGCUGAUUUAUGUCCUAUUGAUUCCAGUGAGAAAUUAGGCCAUGAUUACCGCUGUAAAUUACCAAUCUGCCACUCUGCUCUCUCCGGUUACAUUUUAUGCUUUCAAGUGCUAUUAGUUAAAGCUAGAUUACUCUGAUGGUUGAUUGUGUGUUUUUCUCGUUUUCGUUGGUGUGAAAAUGGAGCAGCAGAGAAGUUCGUCGGGGUCUUCCCAUAGCCCUAGAUCUUCCUCGUCGCAGCCUUACCUGUCGAUUUCGGUGACUGACCCUGUGAAAUUGGGCAAUGGCGUCCAGGCUUACAUCUCUUAUCGAGUCAUCACCAAGACAAAUUUUCCAGAAUACCAAGGGCCUGAAAAGAUUGUUAUUCGGCGUUACAGUGAUUUUGUUUGGUUACGUGACCGUCUUUUUGAAAAGUACAAAGGUGUUUUCAUUCCUCCACUUCCAGAGAAGAGUGCUGUAGAAAAGUUUCGUUUCAGUGCUGAAUUUAUUGAGUUGAGGCGCCAAGCACUAGAUAUAUUUGUCAAUAGGAUAGCCUCGCAUCAUGAGCUUCAGCAAAGUGAGGAUUUAAGAACCUUUUUGCAGGCAGAUGAAGAGGUGAACUAUUUAUUUGUGGUGCUUUGAGAAGCUCAGUUGUGAAGGCUUAUUCAGAAAAUAUCUGUUCUGUUGUCUGGACCUCCCAGUUGUAGAUACUUGGACUGACUGUACCUUCCCACACAGGACACACAUGCACACACCCAGUUCUCACUACAUGUCUCUAUAUUUUUCCAUCAGUAAUAGAAUUUUUUUUUUUUAAUUAGCAGUUGUUUUAGGUGUUUCACUUAUUCUUUGCAAAUUUGUUAUUAUUAUUUUCUUUAGAUGUACACCAUAUUCACAAAAAUUUCUUGUUUUCCCAAGUAUUAAUAAUCAAAGUUUGAAAUAUCUGGUGUACUUAAUCGUGAAAAUAGAAAGAAAGUAAACAGGGUUAUGUCAGGAUAUCCCGAUAUGGCUUCAUUCAAAAGCUUCUGUUUGGUUGCCAUGCCAAUGACUUGAAAAUAUUCCUUAGAAUCUUCUGCAUGCGAUCUUACCAAAAUGUUUGACUAAUUCCUUUGGUAGUUUGGAAAAUUCCAUAAGUGGAUUUCAUGAGCCUAUCUGCUUCAAUCCAUUUUUACUAUGUUUUCAUUAUGGCAUCGGCUGCACUUGGACACAAACUGCCUACUCCAUGAAGUCUUGGAGGCUAGGACUACUAAACUAUAUAUAUAUUGCAAUAAGCUAUUGAUGGUGUUUUAGAUAGAGAUAUGAAUUUAAGACAACUGCUGGCCAUUCAAUUUUAAGCAGCUAUUGAUAUUGCAUAUCAUUGGUAACUUCAGAAUGUGGAUUUCAUGAAAUCCCCUUUAAAUUUUGAAGUUUAGGAAGAUGUUAACAUACUGCUUCACUUAACCUUAUUUAAUGUAAACAGAUAUUUUGCUUUAUCUUCUUUUGAAGAAAAGUUUGUCACUGACAGAAUCUAUCAGCAUUGCUUGUAAUUCCUAUUUUUGUUAAUGUAUUUGAUAUUGCUAGGGUAGUGUGUGUAGUGUUGGUACUAAUAUAUUUCCUAUUUUUCCAGACAAUGGAGAGAUUAAGGUCUCAAGAGACUGGUAUUUUUAAAAAGAAACCAGCUGAUUUGAUGCAAAUCUUCAAGGUGUGAUGAAUUCUGCAUUGAUCUAUGGUGAUUUGCAUUUUUGGUGAUAGAUAACAUUAUAAUUGUAGUUAAUGAAACAUUGCCAUAACCAAUUGAGUACUUUUUGGCUUAUUAUGAAGUUUCUCACCUGAUCAUUGACUCAAAAGUUUCCAUCAUAUUUUAGGCCUGUGAUAUUAUAACCAUAUAAUUAGAUGUUGGAUGGUUGCUUCUUGGUUCUUAAUGUUCUUUGCUGGUCACUUUCACUGAUAAAAAAUGUAUGUUUUGGUGGAAUCUAUAGAAACUUGUUUCUAAGGUCUGGGAUCAAAUUCUGUACAUUUAAUUGGGAAACUGUUCCACUACCUGUUGGUUAAGUUUAACAAAAGAGACAGUGCUCAUUUCUGCCUGUGUGGUAAUACAAUAUUUGAAUGCACUCACCAUCAAUUUGGGGAUGCAAUUUGAUGCAAUGAUAUAAAUUUUUUACAGGAGGUGCAAACUAAAGUGAGUGACGUCGUUCUUGGGAAGGAAAAACCGGUUGAGGAAUCAAAUCCUGAAUAUGAAAAGUUGAAAAACUACAUCUUUGAGCUUGAAAACCAUUUGUCUGAAGCUCAGAAACAUGCAUAUCGUCUUGUAAAGAGACACAGAGAAUUGGGGCAAUCUCUAUCAGAUUUUGGAAAGGCAGUGAAACUUCUUGGAGCUUGUGAAGGAGAUGCCCUCGGGAAGGCAUUUUCUGACCUUGGGGCUAAAUCAGAGACGUUAUCUGUUAGGCUUCAGAAGGAGGCCCAUCAACUUUUAAUGAAUUUUGAAGAACCUUUGAAAGAUUAUGUUCGUGCUGUGCAAUCUAUUAAAGCCACCAUAGCUGAGAGAGCAAAUGCCUUCAGGCAUCAAUGUGAACUGGCAGAAACAAUUAAGUUGAAGGAGAUAAAUCUGUAUGGCAUUCAUACUUUCUUCUUCUCAUAGCUUCAUUAUAUUUGUUGUUAGUGGCAUCUUGUAAGAUUAUGAUUGAAUGUUGCAUUAUAUAGUGACCUGCCUUUUCUGUUCAUAUACAAAAAUAUGUACUGUUGAUUGUGACCUAUGAUCUUUGUUUUAUUCAACUUGAAUGUGGCAUAGGUAGACAUAUUAAUCCACGGAAUUGUGUUCUGGCAGACUGGAGCUUUUUUGGUUAGGUUUUGCGGUGCAUGUUUGUCAAGCACCAUACUUUACCCGUGAGAUAUUUUCAGAUAGUGCACUAGAAGAGGUCAUUUUAACAAAAAUGUAACUGCAGAUCAUUCUUAAUAUUCAUGUGCUUGUAUAAAACAAAAUUCUUGAGUACUGAGAAUCUCUCAUAACCAUUGUUAAAAAAUCUGUUUAGCUAUCAAGAAAGGGGAUGAAUGUUGUAAACUUUAUUGAAAAUUGAAUGCAAAAAUAAAGCUUGGAAAAUACUAAUUGGGCUCUGUUUGAAUGGGGUGGUUCAUCUGAUUUUCCUCUCCAGAUGGACUAUCAGGAGUUUCUAAUUUAGAUCUAUUUUCUGCAGUGACAAGCUCAUGUUAACACGAUCAGAUAAAGUGGGAGAGGCUGAGCUCGAGUACAAGGAGGCAAGUUACUGUAUAGUAUAUGAUCACUCUCCAAUUCACAUUUUAGGAAUCUUGGUUGUUGAACUAAAAGUUUAUUGUGAUGCAGUUGAAGGCAGAAAGCGAGGAAGCAACAAGAAGAUUUGAGAAUAUUGUGCGAGUGAUGAAUGAGGAGAUAGUGCAUUUUCAAGAUCAGAAAACACAGGAUAUGGGGAUUGCUUUCCACCAAUUUGCGAAAGGACAGUCUCGUUUGGCAAAUAACAUCGCAGAUGCAUGGCGAAGUCUCCUUCCUAAGCUUGAAGCUUGUUUGUCAUAAUGCUGAGAUGCCAAAAAGUGAGGAAUUGUUCACAUUCUCGGUUCGAAGGAAUGGAAACUGCAGCUUUUGCAUUGUAAAGACCUGUGACUUAUAGGAGAUAGUUCAAGAUUUGCAAUUUGUAUUAUUGUACAAAUUCGAAGCUAGUUGAAAAGGCUGAGUAAAUCCUCUGAAACAUAAUUGAAAGGGAGCAAAACAUGGAAAGUUAUUCAGAAUAGUGUGUUUUAUGAUUAUUUUAUUAUUUUUAAUUAAUUUGUUUUGUCGUUAAAUUGAACUUUAAUAAUUAACAAAGCAAAAUUUAUUUUAUUUUAAUAUUACAUUUCUAUUAAAUGUGAUAUUUAAAAAAUUGGUCUUCGUAGUUGGAAAGUGGAACCUCAGGUCAAGGGCUUUUUCCUACCUCAGAAAACUGGAAAGUCUUAUCCAGUUCCCAUCCCACCAAAUCCCAAAGUUUCACUGUUCCUCUUCUAUCCUCUGCCCUAAGAAGUUUCGACUUGCGAGCUAUGGCGUGUGCAAUGAGCCAACUCCUAUGCCCAACUCGUGCGUCUUCCCACUUGCAAUUCUCUCCUGCUCUUCCCGUUUCCCGCCCAUUCCUAAUAACCACCGGUGGGGAUAAAAACCACCUCCCUAGGCUUGUUGAAUUUUACUGGCACCAGAAUCUGACGGUGGUCGCCAAAUCCUCGCCGGAAAAUGACGGCAUUGUAGCUGCCGACAAUGACGAUGAAGAUGGCGUCUCUUUGGGAACCUUGAAAUUGCCUUCGAAUACUGACCUUGACAGAUUUGAGAGCUUGCUUUUCCAGUGGGCAAACAGUCUUUGCCAAGGAGCUAAUCUGCCACUCCCAGUGCCAUUGAAGAUAGAUAAAAUACGAGGCGGAGUUAGGUUGGGUUUCAUUACAAUUGGAGAUGGUAAGACAGAGGUCCUAGUGUACAUUGAUUGCUUGGUUUUCCCAGCAACUGGUGGUUCAGGUCCUAUUUUCCGAGCCAUAAGAAAUGGACCCUUAAAAGAUAAAUCACCUCCUGGUGAGCCUAGAAUCAUGAGAAGUCUUCUGCAAGCCCUCCAGAAGUCCGUUGAAAUUGCUGGAGUUUGAAAUAUUUUGUUACGUGAGAUGUAAAAAAUCUGCAGUUUAUUCUGUUCUUAUUUAGUUUAGUGAAAUGAGAAUUAAAUAGCUUGUCAAUAACAAAGCUUAGUUCAUGUGCAAUGUAUAGUUUAUUGGGUGUAACUACAGAGAGCUGGAUGCCACGUGAGAAUGAACUUAUCGAUCGAUAAAUUAAAUAUUUGCAUAUAAAUUUAUACACUC